rnacentral:RNase_P_RNA from 1 species
GCAAGAGCGCACCGGGGCGCUGGCGACAGUGUCCGCAUGGCAAACCCCGCCCGGAGCAAGACCGAAUAGGGGCGGCGCGCCCCGGUGCAAGCCGGGGCAGGCGGGUUUCGCGCUGAGUCGUCCGGGUUGGUCGCUGGAGCGGUGCAGCAAUGCAUCGCCGAGAGGAAUGGUCGCCAUCCCGGCGCAGGUCCGCGCAAGCGGAUACCGGCAGGGAUACAGAACCCGGCUUACAGGCUCUCCGGCACA